CGUCUCUCGGGCCCAAUGGGAGGCGGCGGCUCUGCGGGGCGGAGGGAGCCGGAGCGGCGGCCGGGCCGGCGGGGAGCGGGGCCCGGCCUGUGCUUGGAGCCUGAGACGCCCAGGUGGAAGAAACCGUGACUGCGGAGGCCGAAAUCGGGGUGAAAUCGGGAAGGUGAUAACAGCCACCCUUCCCGCACCGCCUUCGGAGCUCAGCACCGAGUUAUGCUUCAUCUGACGGUGAGCUGGGGCGUGUUCGGAGGCUGUCGCCAUGUCUCUGUGCCAAUGCACGGUGAAGCACAGCGAGUCGGAUGCCGAAGGCUGUUGCUUCUCGGCGAGCGGCGGCUUGAAGGUUUGCCUGCACUGGAGUGGCGAGGAGGAGCAGGAGCGGUGCCAGACCUACGCCCAGGGCACGCUCAGCGCCGAGGAGAUCUGCAUCGACCUCGCACGAAGGAUCGGCAUCACGCCGCUGUGCUACAGCCUCUUCGCCCUCUAUGACACCCAGAGCCGAGUCUGGCUCCCGCCCAACCACCUCUUCAAAAUCAGCAAAGACACCAACCUCAACCUGCUUUUCCGCAUGAGGUGAGGACGGUUCCCUCCCCUCUGUCCCCUGCUGCCGUGUUUUUUGGAGCCCUGCGGAGCUGCCAACCUCCUCUUGCUUGCGGAGCAGAGACGUGCCAGGCUUUAAUAGGGCUGCACUGGAAAUAAUGUCGCUUGCUUUUCUGCCCCCGGGUUACCUGUUUCCAGAUUUGCCUGGAAAAUGUUUGCGGAGGUUGGCAUGGGGUUGGGGAACCGAGCAAACUCAGCAGGGCUGGUCUAAAUCGGACUCGGAAGGAUUAAAUGAGGAACAGGACGUGUUUGGAGCCCCUGCCUCUCCUUCAGUGUAGAAAAAUUCCUUUCCCAGUUCCUCAUAUUCCUCUGCCGUUCGCCCUCCGUCUCCCUGACUGGUUCAGCCUGUGCUUCCUCCUCUCAGUUCUGUCCCCGAGCGGGACAAUGUCCCCUUUGAAGUGUUUUGAGACCAACAGCAAACACCCAAGGGCUCCUCGGAGCAAGCCCUGGGCUGUGGCAUUGCCAGCUGGGUUCCCAGGAAGGCGAGAGCUGUUUUUUGUGGAUGUCUUUGCGAGAUACUCGGGUUCCCUGGAGAUGACGGGGACGACGAUCUUAGUGUUUCCUCCCAAAACAUUGCCACUGGCGAUUUUAUUAGGAGAGCUUUUUCAGGCUGGUUUGGUUUUGGGGUUUUUGGGUUUGUUUUUUUUCAUGGUGUCUGAGUCAUAGCGAAGGUAAAAGCGAGGGAGAAACAGAAAACCCCGGCUUGGAGAUUUAUUAGCCUGUUUUAUACGACUUGCAAUACCUUCUUCUUCCUGGGGAACCGCGGCGUAUCGGGCCGAGGCCUCUCUCCUCAGCCGGCCGUCGUGCCAAACACAACCCGUGCGGCAGAAAACGGUCUCCGAGGCACCGAGCCGGCUCCCGUGCCUGGCCGGGACAUCGUUGCACACGUAGCUGUACCGUGUCGUCCAAGGAAGGUUGAAAUGGGAGCCAUGCUUCCCAGUGUGCAGGGAGGAAGGCUUUGAGUCCUCGUGGCCAGCACCUCUGCAUCCCUCGGCCCUGCUGGAGGAGAGCGCCGUGAUCCGUAGCUCUCUGACCGCGGAUACAUUGCAGAGCUCUGACUUUUUGGGCCAGAAAGUCCUUUUCCUUCAGCUCUGGUUUCGAUGCCACUUGGCUGGCGCAGGCGCCUGCAGUGCGAGCGCUGAAAUAACCCCGGCGUGUUAACCGCAGGCAGAGAUGCGGCUUUGGGGGUUGAGCGGUGGGAACGGAAACUCACUCUGCCCGCAGAGCUCUCUUUGUGCUGAUGUUUUUUUAGAUGUGGCGUUUUGUGGGGGGGACGCUCCUCACCCCAGCUGCUCUCAUUUUUUUGGGGCCCCUGGGCUGGCAGCACGAAAACUUGGCUGCGAAAUGGCAUUGUGGGGAGCACUGCUGCUAAAGAGGCGUUUGCGGGUUGGGGUUGGUUGCAGCCAGAGUUAAUUAGGGUCCCUUUCAUGAAGCUCUGCUGAUGGGGUCGUAUUCGUCGUGCUGUACGGCACAGCUGGUCAUAAAUGUAGAGGAAAAAGCUUAAAGGAACCCGUUUUGGUGGCAGGAAGAGGUUGCUUCCCUUUUGCCUCCUGGUGUCUGAAUUGUUGCCUUGUGCUCAGAUCACAUUUUUUGAGGACGUGGCUGGUUCUCAUGUUGGCAGUGGGAUUUCAAGAAGUUUGGCUCUUAAAAAAAACCCAAACCUAAAACCCACCACUCUGAGCCCAGAGUGCGGCCCCCGGCUGCACUGGGGCAGGACAGAGCUCUCUGCUGCUGGUCUGCUGGUCCUUUCCCCUGUCCCCUUGAGACAGCCAGUAACAAAACCUCUGCAAAACCCUCUUUGGGACCUGGCUCCAGUCCCCCAGCAGCCUCUGGGGAAGGGGCAGGCAGCUGUGCUGGAUGGAAGGAGCAGAUUUAUGGGUAAAAUGAGCCUCGAGCAGGUCCAGGGCAGCCACUGGACCCGGGUUUGG